AUGUCAUUCAAAGUUGUAUCUUGUCGUAUGUUUUAUGCUCCUGCCAUUCUACCAUUGGGGUGGUGCCUAUACGCCUUUGAUUUCACAAAGAAAAAGAUUACCGUUCUAGACCCACUCAUUGGCACGACUGGUUUCAGCAACGAAAGCAUCAGGUUGCACGAGUACGCAACCGGGAAAAUCCUUGAUGGGUUGUUCUUGUGUGCGAGGCACUUCUACUCCAACUGGCCCUACAAAACAGAAAGAUGGACCAGGGACUUCCCCAUGAUCAUGGAGGACAAUUUUACUAGCGAGGAAUCUGGGCUUUGUGUGACUUUCUUAUCCAAAAUUUUCGAUGGCGAGAAGCUCGUGAAGUCACUAAACAAGGAAAACUUGGAGUUGCACCGACACACCCUCUUGUAUGACGUCAUGCGACUAAAGGACAACAUCUCGCUCGUCCCAUCAGAUGUACUUGAAUUCAUCAAGACCUCGUUCCAUGUUCUCUAA
rnacentral:rRNA from 1 species